GCUGCCGGUGGCGCAAAAACCGUUUCGCGUGCGCGGCGUGAGCGCAGGAGCGCGGCCGGGAACCGCGGCCGCUCCGGCGAGCGCGGGGCUGGGAGCGAGCGGGGCGGGGCAACUCCCAGCGACAGACACGCGUGAAACCGCCACCGCUCCGGCUCCGCCCGCGGGCCAGGCGGCGCGGGGCCCGGGGACACAGGCCCGGGAGAACCGGACAGAACCGGGAGAACCGGACAGGCUCGGGAGAACCGGACAGGCCCGGGAGAACCGGACAGGCCGGGGGGCACCGGACAGGCCCGGGAGAACCGGACAGAACCGGGAGAACCGGACAGGCUCGGGAGAACCGGACAGGCCCGGGAGAACCGGACAGAACCGGGAGAACCGGACAGGCUCGGGAGAACCGGACAGGCCCGGCCGCGGUCCCGGCGGCACGUACCCAGGUAGAAGCGCAGGAAGGGCGAGGGGGUCAUGUUCUUGAAGAGCAUGAUCUGCACCCAGGGGUUCUUGUACUGGAUCUGGGGGAUGUUGAAGAACACGAACUUUCUGGAAAGGAAGAGAAAGCGGCGGGUGUGCCUGAGGAGACCCCGGCCCCCGCGCUCCCGCCGCGCGCCGCUCACCUCGCGCCCUCGCUCCGCUCUCCCGCCGUGUUGUAGUUCACGGUCAGCACCUUCACCGAGCUCUUGAAGAUGACGUCGCCCUGGCUGAGGUACUGCAGCGUCCGCCGGACGGGGAACCGGCCCUUCAUCGGCAUGGCGGCCACCGCGCCGCGGCGGGAACGGCGGGAACGGCGGGAAGCGCCGCCCGGGCCGCAGCGCCCGCGGCCACCGCCCGGCCCCGCCCUCCGACACGCGCCGGCCCCGCCCCCUGCGCGCGCGGUGGCUCCGGGGCUGCGCCGGGCGCUGCUUCCGCCGCGGACCGGAUGUGCCGGACGUCCCCGCUGUCCCCGAUGUCCCCCCUGUCCCCGGUGUCCCCCCUGUCCCCGGUGUCCCCCCUGUCCCCGCUGUCCCCCCUGUCCCCGCUGUCCCCGCCGUCCCGGCUGCUUCUCCCCCCGCAGCCGCCCCGCGCCGGGGCCCCAGGCCGCGAUUGGGCCGCUGCGCUCGGUGAAGGGAACGCGAAGCACGGUGUCCCGAGGCGGCAGGGCCGGGGCGCACUGCGCGGCACGCCCGCGUCUCCUCAGGCUGGCGCCGUUGUCCGUUGUAAGCGCUUGGGACACGGAACAAGUGCACACAGGUACAGGUAGCGACAGCUGAAACAGGAGGGACCACUCGUAACCAGUUAAGGGAAGAGUCCGAAGAUUAAUAUAACCUGGCUCAGACAUCUCAUGUUUAACACGAAAAUAAAACUCAAUAAUGCAUUUA